UGUAACUACCAAUUGGAUAGCACAAAAUUGAGGAGAAUUAAAAUAAAAACACUCUCUGCCUUGAGAGAGGAUGGGCAGAGAGUGCAGCCCAAUCUGAGCCGCUUCACCGUAGCGUCCGUCAGCCGGACGUUCCAAAAUGAGAAUAGAACUGAAAGACGAUCAUCACGUGGUGGUAGAACACGUCUAUUUACAGACGAACAGGAGGCUUCCAUUGUGAAAUCCAACAACAGAUGAUUGAAAACCCUGCCAUCUUCCAUAACAUCAGAGUGAGCUUAUCAACCAUAUUCCGCGUCCUUAAGAAACACCAUCUCCGGAUGAAGCAGAUCUACAGAGUCCCAUUUGAAAGGAAUUCCCAAAGAGUGAAGGAUAAAUGGUACGAUAUGUGCAACCAGAGCAGAGGGCCAGGUGAUCCAGAGCAGAGAGGACCAGGUGAUCCUGAGCAGCAAAUGUAUGUUCUAAUUUGGGACAACGUGAUUUUCUAUUGGGCUGCUCAGGUCCGUAACUGGUUCCAUGACCAUCCCAGGUUUACAAUUUUCUAUCUCCCACCAUAUUAGGCCCUCAUUGUAAAGUAGGCUGUCAUUGUAAAUAAGAAUGUGUUCUUAACUGACUUGCCUCGUUAAAUAAAUGUUAAAUAAAAUAAAAUAUUCCCUAUUUCUCAACCCCAAUGACGAGUUGUUUUUAGCAUGGUGGCGGAAGGUGUAUGUUCACAAACCCCAUGAACGUAUGGCCCUUCUCCAGGCAAUGGCCUGUGGUGACAUUCCAGCAGAGUCCUUUCAGAGGUGGAUUCGUCAUGCCAGAAGAUAUUUCCCCCGCUGUCUGGCCAAGGAGAAUAUCGCGUGUGAUGUUGUUGAAAAAUAUGUCUGGACAAAAACAACAGACAUGACUGACUUAUGAUUUUGAUUUCAUUGUAUUUCGACCGUUUCUUUAUCUAUUCCUUACAAUUGACCUAACAUACAGUACAGCUUAGGCCUAUUUUUCUUCCUUUGCGUAUGCAAAAUAAAUUUACUGUAUUUUAGCAUUUUUACUGUGUGCUUACAGUAUGCUGUUUGUGUCGUCCUUUUCGGGAAUGUACCUGUGUAAUUGCGCACCUAGCUCACUCAGGUGCUUUACUAUAUCACAUUUGUAUUGAGUCAUGUUCAAAUAUAAAACAAACACUUUUG